GAUGAACGCUGGCGGCGUGCUUAACACAUGCAAGUCGAACGAUGAAGCCCAGCUUGCUGGGUGGAUUAGUGGCGAACGGGUGAGUAACACGUGAGUAACCUGCCCUUAACUCUGGGAUAAGCCUGGGAAACUGGGUCUAAUACCGGAUAGGAGCGCCUACCGCAUGGUGGGUGUUGGAAAGAUUUAUCGGUUUUGGAUGGACUCGCGGCCUAUCAGCUUGUUGGUGAGGUAAUGGCUCACCAAGGCGACGACGGGUAGCCGGCCUGAGAGGGUGACCGGCCACACUGGGACUGAAACACGGCCCAGACUCCUACGGGAGGCAGCAGUGGGGAAUAUUGCACAAUGGGCGAAAGCCUGAUGCAGCGACGCCGCGUGAGGGAUGACGGCCUUCGGGUUGUAAACCUCUUUCAGUAGGGAAGAAGCGAAAGUGACGGUACCUGCAGAAGAAGCACCGGCUAACUACGUG
rnacentral:rRNA from 1 species